rnacentral:rRNA from 1 species
ACCAGACUUGCCCUCUCAUAGAUACUCGUUAAAGGGUUUAAAUUGUACCCAUUCCGAUGGCCGGCCUCAAAGAGAACGGCCUCGUUAUUUUUCGUCACUACCUCCUCGUGCUGAGAGUGGGUAAUUUUCGCGCCUGCUGCCUUCCUUAGAUGUGUUCGCGAUUUCUCAGGCGAACUCUCCGGAGCCGAACCCUUAUUCUCCGUUACGCGUGAUCACCAUGGUAGUCAGUUACACUACCAUCGAAAGUUGAUACGGCAGAUACUUGAAAGACACGUCGCCGGUACAAGACCAUGCGAUCAGCUCAGUUACUAUGAGUCAACCGUUGAACAGCCGAAGCUGCCUGGUUUUGUUCUAAUAAAUGCGCUCGUCACUCUUGCGAGUUCGGAGCUUUAAUGCAUGUAUUAGCUCUAGAAUUACCACAGUUAUCCAAGUAGGAUUUGUCUCUAGAUCAAGUAAAUUAUAGCUGUUAUAAUGAGCCAUUCGCGGUUUCACGUUCAAAACGUUUAUACUUAGACAUGCAUGGCUUAAUCUUUGAGAUAAGCACAUCAGUUCAGGCAGGAUCAACCAG